rnacentral:piRNA from 1 species
UGCACAGUCCCAGUUGAUGGGGAACUAUGU